rnacentral:rRNA from 1 species
UACGGGGGGGUAAGCGUGUUCGGAAUUACUGGGCGUAAAGGGCUCGUAGGCGGCCAACUAAGUCGGACGUGAAAUCCCUCAGCUUAACUGGGGAACUGCGUCCCGAUACUGGAUGGCUUGGAUUUGGGAGAGGGAUGCGGAAUUCCAGGUGUAGCGGUGAAAUGCGUAGAUAUCUGGAGGAACACCGGUGGCGAAGGCGGCAUCCUGGACCAAUAUUGACGCUGAGGAGCGAAAGCCAGGGGAGCAAACGGG